GCAGAAGAAGCACCGGCUAACUCCGUGCCAGCUAGCCGCGGUAAUACGGAGGGUGCGUAGCGUUAAUCGGAAUUACUGGGCGUAAAGCGCAUGCUAGGUGGUUUGUUAAGUCAGAUGUGAAAGCCCGGGGCUCAACCUCGGAAUUGCAUUUGAAACUGGCAAACUAGAGUACUGUAGAGGGGGUAGAAUUUCAGGUGUAGCGGUGAAAUGCGUAGAGAUCUGAAGGAAUACCCGGUAGGCGAAGGCGGCCCCCUGGACAGAUACUGACACUCAGAUGCGAAAGCGUGGGGAAGCAAACAGGAUUAGAUACCCUGGUAG
rnacentral:rRNA from 1 species